CCAAAGGCUCUUUUUUAGAGCCACCCAAGUUGUCAAAGAAAAGAGCU
rfam:Oryctolagus cuniculus chromosome 13, whole genome shotgun sequence.